AUUGAACGCUGGCGGCAGGCCUAACACAUGCAAGUCGAGCGGAUGAAGGGAGCUUGCUCCUGGAUUCAGCGGCGGACGGGUGAGUAAUGCCUAGGAAUCUGCCUGGUAGUGGGGGAUAACGUCCGGAAACGGGCGCUAAUACCGCAUACGUCCUGAGGGAGAAAGUGGGGGAUCUUCGGACCUCACGCUAUCAGAUGAGCCUAGGUCGGAUUAGCUAGUUGGUGGGUAAAGGCCUACCAAGGCGACGAUCCGUAACUGGUCUGAGAGGAUGAUCAGUCACACUGGAACUGAGACACGGUCCAGACUCCUACGGGAGGCAGCAGUGGGGAAUACUGGACAAUGGGCGAAAGCCUGAUCCAGCCAUGCCGCGUGUGUGAAGAAGGUCUUCGGAUUGUAAAGCACUUUAAGUUGGGAGGAAGGGCAGUAAGUUAAUACCUUGCUGUUUUGACGUUACCAACAGAAUAAGCACCGGCUAACUUCGUG
rnacentral:rRNA from 1 species